GGAGAGCUGCCAGAGCGGUCGAAUGGGACGGUUUCGAAAACCGUUGUACUGGUAACGGUACCGGGGGUUCGAAUCCCUCGCUCUCCGCAA
rnacentral:tRNA from 1 species